AGCUUGCAUGAGCCUGAAGCUCUGAUGGUAUACAUUUCUAUAUUGGAGCAACAAGCAAAGUAUGUGGAUGCUUUGGAAAUUCUCACUGGGAAUUUAGGAUCUCUGUUAAUGAUUGAAGUUGAUAAACUACGUAUACAGGGAAGGCUACUUGCUAGGGCGGGUGAUUACAGUGCUGCUGCUGAUAUUUUUCAGAAAAUCUUAGAGCUAAG